rfam:Thalassotalea sp. ND16A ctg75, whole genome shotgun sequence.
GCCUCGAUAGCUCAGUCGGUAGAGCAGGGGAUUGAAAAUCCCCGUGUCCCUGGUUCGAUUCCGGGUCGAGGCA